AUUGAACGCUGGCGGCAGGCCUAACACAUGCAAGUCGAGCGAGCGGCGGACGGGUGAGUAAUGUAUGGGGACUGCCCGAUAGAGGGGGAUAACUACUGGAAACGGUGGCUAAUACCGCAUACUAUCGGAUAACCCAUAUGGGAUUAGCUAGUAGGUGGGGUAAAGGCUCACCUAGGCGACGAUCUCUAGCUGGUCUGAGAGGAUGAUCAGCCACACUGUGACUGAGACUCGGCCCAGACUCCUACCGAGGCAGCAGUGGGGACUAUUGCGCAAUGGGCGCAAGCCUGAUGCAGCACUGCCGCGUAUAUGAAGAAGGCCUUAGGGUUGUAGAGUACUUUCAGCGGGGAGGCGUUACCCGCAGAAGAAGCACCGGCUAACUCCGUGCCAGCAGCCGCGGUAAUAC
rnacentral:rRNA from 1 species